rnacentral:lncRNA from 1 species
AAUGAAUCUGUGCUACGCUCGUCAUGAAGAGAAAAAACAAAAGGAAAUCUUUCUUUUCAAGGAGAACGAGUUCACUGAUCUGAUGCAUAAUUUCAAUGCGUGUCUUCUGGGUGACAUGCUUCCAUUGGAAGCUUCAGUAGUACAAGGAGCCAUCCGCCAUUU